GUAACACGUAUCCAACCUGCCGAUGACUCGGGGAUAGCCUUUCGAAAGAAAGAUUAAUACCCGAUGGCAUAGUUCUUCCGCAUGGUGGAACUAUUAAAGAAUUUCGGUCAUCGAGUGGGGAUGCGUUCCAUUAGGUUGUUGGCGGGGUAACGGCCCACCAAGCCUUCGAUGGAUAGGGGUUCUGAGAGGAAGGUCCCCCCACAUUGGAACUGAGACACGGUCCAAACUCCUACGGGAGGCAGCAUG
rnacentral:rRNA from 1 species